rnacentral:rRNA from 1 species
ACGACCUCAGAUCAGACGAGACGACCCGCUGAAUUUAAGCAUAUUACUAAGCGGAGGAAAAGAAACUAACCAGGAUUCCCUCAGUAGCGGCGAGUGAAGAGGGAAGAGC